AGGUAUUUUAUUUAGAAAAUGUAUGUGAUGCUUGUGCAAGAUUUAACACCAUGUUACUAGGGUUUUGUAGUUGCCAAGGCAAUGCUAGGUAGAUUCUAAGGUAUUUUAAAAAGUUUUUAAUAUGUUGUUGUGCAUUUGCUAAGCUGUUUUUGGGUGGUUGCUAGUUAGAUGCUCAGGGCAAAAGAGCGGACCCAGGUCUAAUGACACUGGUCCCUCAAUCAGAGCAAGUCUGAAAGUUUUAUUGUCCACCGUGUUUAAAUGAAUCUCUAACCUGACUACAAGCUUUUUAACUGGAGUUGCAUGCCUGAAAAGACUUACAUAUCUGGAAACAUGACAAAUAUUGGCUUUACUUGGCUUUAUCCAUCGAAUAAUGUGAUUAAGCAACAUUAUUUGUUCAGUAGGCCUACAGCUUUCUCAUUUGCACAGUGAAGGCUCUGUGUUAUCAUGCCUGUCUUGUGCUUUUGGGGCGUCAUGUAUAAAGGGUAGUUCCUCUUUGAGCUGAACCUUCCUGUCGCUAUAUACAGGAGCAAACUAGAAAAUUUUACAUUGGUUCUGCAACCUUCAGCGAUUGAAGACAUGACUGCCUUUAGACUGGAGUUUCUCUUUUUCACUGCCCUUCUGGGCUCAGUCAAAACACGAUCUGUUGAUACAACUGGCAUGACGAAUGACCUGAUGGGUGCGGAUGACAACAUGACAGGUGACAUGUGUCAGGACUGCACUCAGAUUUUUGAGCUUCUGAAGGACCUCUUUUCCAAUGGGGACUUCCAGGCCAAAUUAGCUGCCUCUCUUGAGCAACUGUGUGAUGAGUUGCCUGCCCAAAUCUCUAAAAUCUGCCACACUGAGGUGGAAAAGAUGCUUCCUUUUGCCAUCACCUUCAUUACCAGCAUGAUGCAACCCAAUGACAUCUGUACAUUUCUUGGAUUGUGUGGAGGACGUGACAUUGACAGGAUUAGAGAUAUGUUGCUUAAUCACAUGUCAAAAACUCUACCAGUGCCAACUAUGAAGGUAACAUUUGAGGAAAUGAUUUUGAAGUUAUUGUUUGCAUGUUCUGCACAGCUGACUAGGUUUCUCUGCUCUCUAACACAGAUGGAGACGUCCAUGCAGUGCUCUGUUUGCACAUACAUUGUGAGCACCCUGAGAGUAUCUGUUUCCCAGAGAGAGGACUCAGAGCAUCAUAACUGUCCUGCUGGAGAGUUUGUGCAAAGAGUUUCCUCCUCUGUUUCAGCCACAGUGCAAUAAGAUGGUUGAAAAAUACGUCCAGCUGUUGGUUGACAUGCUACUGAACAAUACUUCACCUAACUUCAUAUGCACUCUGCUUCAUCUUUGUGAAAUACAGGAGCAUCCCGUCAAAG
ensembl:lncRNA